rnacentral:lncRNA from 1 species
UUCUAGAGUCGUCAUGCUCACGUAGUGCAUCAUCGCCUUAAUCAAUUCAUUUGAUGAACAAAACAAAAAUGCUAAGAGAAACUAAAAAUUCGAACGCGUCGAUUUUUUUCCCCAUUUUCUCUCAACUUUUUUUUUUCAUUCUUCGCCACUGUAACCCGAUCGUUACCGUGUCCCCUUUUCUUCUACCAUCAAUUAAUACGAUUGGGUGAGAUUAGUGCCUUAUUGAUUAAUCAAUUAGUGAAUUA